GAUGAACGCUGGCGGCGUGCCUAAUACAUGCAAGUCGAGCGAACGGACGAGAAGCUUGCUUCUCUGAUGUUAGCGGCGGACGGGCGAGUAACACGUGGAUAACCUACCUAUAUGACUGGGAUAACUUCGGGAAACCGUAGCUAAUACCGGAUAAUAUUUUGAACCGCAUGGUUCAAAAGUGAAAGACGGUUUUGCUGUCACUUAUAGAUGGAUGCGCGCUGCCUUAUCUAGUUGGUAAGGUAACGGCUUACCAAGGCAACGAUGCAUAGCCGACCGGAAGGGGGAACCGGCAACACGGGAACGAGGCACGGGUCCAGACUCCAAGGGGAGGCAGCGGUGGGGAAUCUGGCGCAAUGGGCGAAGGCCGGACGAAGCAACGCCGCGGGGUGGAUGAAGGUCUUCGGAUCGUAAAACCCUGUUAUUAGGGAGAAACAUAUGUGUAUGUAACUGUGCAGUUCUUGACGGUACCAAAGCAGAAAGCCACGGCUACCUACUU
rnacentral:rRNA from 1 species